rnacentral:rRNA from 1 species
GACGAACGCUGGCGGCGCGCCUAACACAUGCAAGUCGAACGAGCGAGCGAGAGCUUGCUUUCUUGAGCGAGUGGCGAACGGGUGAGUAACGCGUGAGGAACCUGCCUCAAAGAGGGGGACAACAGUUGGAAACGACUGCUAAUACCGCAUAAGCCCACGGUGCCGCAUGGCACAGAGGGAAAAGGAGCAAUCCGCUUUGAGAUGGCCUCGCGUCCGAUUAGCUAGUUGGUGAGGUAACGGCCCACCAAGGCGACGAUCGGUAGCCGGACUGAGAGGUUGACAGGCCACAUUGGGACUGAGACACGGCCCAGACUCCUACGGGAGGCAGCAGUGGGGAAUAUUGCACAAUGGGGGAAACCCUGAUGCAGCGACGCCGCGUGGAGGAAGAAGGUCUUCGGAUUGUAAACUCCUGUUGUUGGGGAAGAUAAUGACGGUACCCAACAAGGAAGUGACGGCUAACUACGUG